rnacentral:rRNA from 1 species
AGUGAACGCUGGCGGUAGGCCUAACACAUGCAAGUCGAACGGCAGCACAGUAAGAGCUUGCUCUUACGGGUGGCGAGUGGCGGACGGGUGAGGAAUACAUCGGAAUCUACUUUUUCGUGGGGGAUAACGUAGGGAAACUUACGCUAAUACCGCAUACGACCUACGGGUGAAAGCAGGGGAUCUUCGGACCUUGCGCGAUUGAAUGAGCCGAUGUCGGAUUAGCUAGUUGGCGGGGUAAAGGCCCACCAAGGCGACGAUCCGUAGCUGGUCUGAGAGGAUGGUCAGCCACACUGGAACUGAGACACGGUCCAGACUCCUACGGGAGGACGCAGUGGGGAAUAUUGGACAAUGGGCGCAAGCCUGAUCCAGCCAUACCGCGUGAGUGAAGAAGGCCUUCGGGUUGUAAAGCCCUUUUGUUGGGAAAGAAAAGCAGCAGGUUAAUACCCCGCUGUUCUGACGGUACCCAAAGAAUAAGCACCGGCUAACUUCGUG